rnacentral:rRNA from 1 species
UAGGGAAUAUUGGACAAUGGGGGCAACCCUGAUCCAGCCAUGCCGCGUGAGUGAAGAAGGCCCUUGGGUUGUAAAGCUCUUUUGUCCGGAAAGAAAAGCAUUCGGUGAAUACCCGGAUGUUCUGACGGUACCGGAAGAAUAAGCACCGGCUAACUUCGUGCCAGCAGCCGCGGUAAUACGAAGGGUGCAAGCGUUACUCGGAAUUACUGGGCGUAAAGCGUGCGUAGGUGGUUGUUUAAGUCUGAUGUGAAAGCCCUGGGCUCAACCUGGGAAUGGCAUUGGAAACUGGGCAGCUAGAGUGCGGUAGAGGGUAGUGGAAGUCCCGGUGUAGCAGUGAAAUGCGUAGAGAUCGGGAGGAACAUCUGUGGCGAAGGCGACUGCCUGGACCAGCACUGACACUGAGGCACGAAAGCGUGGGGAGCAAACA